GGCCCCGCCCGAGGCGCCGCGCGGCUGCCGAGCCCCGGGGUGGGCCGGGGCGGCCUCGCCGAGCCCGUCGGGGGCGCCAUGAGGCCGGGCCGGGCCGGGCCGGGGCGCUGGGGCUCGGCAGCGGCGCUGGUCGUGCUGGCGGUGCUGGUGGCGGCCGUCCUCCUCCUGGUGCUGGCCCCGGACAGGGACGCUGCCCUCCCCGCGAGGAACCAAUACGGAAUGGUGUUUGAUGCUGGCUCCACGCACACGGCUCUCUACAUCUACCAGUGGCCUGCGAACAAGGAGAAUGGCACAGGCAUUGUCAGCCAGGUGGAAACCUGCACCGUGAAUGGAUCUGGCAUCUCCAGCUACGCAGAUGACCCUGCUGGGGCCGGAGCCAGCCUGAAGCCCUGCCUGGACAAGGCCAUGACGAUCAUCCCUGCAGAGCAGCAGCGGGACACCCCCGUCUACCUGGGGGCCACAGCAGGCAUGCGGCUGCUGAGGGAGCAAAACAGCACAAAAGCUGAGCAGGUCUUCGCUGAGGUCACCAAGGCCAUUCGAGAGUACCCUGUGGAUUUCCGUGGAGCUCAGAUCCUCACAGGAAACGAAGAAGGCUCCUUCGGCUGGAUCACCGUCAACUACCUGCUGGAGACACUCAUCAAGCAUUCCUUCACAGGCAAGUGGAUCCACCCACCAGUGGAGGAUACCGUUGGAGCUCUGGACCUUGGUGGGGCUUCCACCCAGAUCACAUUUCUUCCUGGGACCACCAUAGAUGACAGCAACACAAGAGCUCUCCUCAGACUGUACGGGACCAACUACUCCAUUUACACCCACAGCUACCUCUGCUAUGGACAAAUGCAAGCCCUGAAGAGGCUGAUGGCAUCUUUACACCAGGGCAACCUAUCUUCCCAGCACAUAUCGCACCCCUGCUACCCCAGGGGAUACCAGGAGAACAUCACCAUGGCAGAGCUCUACAACAGUCCCUGUGUCCCCACACCGAGCACACCCAGCCCCGCACAGGUCCUCAUGGUAACGGGGACAGGGGACCCGGCGGCGUGCAGUGCUGCCAUGCAGAAACUCUUCAACUUCAGCUGUGAGACCAACAGGACGUGUGGGUUCAACGGGGUUUAUCAGCCGCCUGUGCGGGGACAGUUCUUUGCGUUUUCAGGGUUUUAUUACAGCCUUCACUUUCUGAAUCUGACUGGAGAGCAGUCCCUGAGCUCAGUCAAUGACACUCUCUGGAAAUUCUGCACCAGGAAUUGGAAGAAGGGCCCUUCCCCACUGGCUGCCUCCCUUUGCUCUUCCACAUCUACAGCUGCAGAAGGAGUUCCCCACUGCAAACAGGACCCACCUCCGUGACUCCUGCGCCGCCAGCUCCUACACCCUCACCCUCCUGCUGCACGGCUACAAAUUCAACCACAAGACGUGGCACAACAUCCACUUCUGCCAGCAGCCCUCCAGGUGACUCUUUGAGACCCAGAAGGAAGUUGCCGAGCUGCUGGAGGCUCAGCAUGGUUCAAAGCCCAUCCAUGACUGCCAGCAGCUGGCACAGCUGCUGUUUGUGAAGUGAGAUCCCCUCGGGUACUAACAUCUCCCCUGGGCCUUCCUAAAGGACAGGAUCCUGGGGGAAGGAGAUCCUCUCAUUUCCCCGCCAGGCAAUUCCUGCACCAGCGGCCACCCCAGCUCUGGCCACAGCAAGUGCUGGUGCCUUGUGCCUGGCUGAGCUGCUCCACUCACUUUAGCUCCUCUUUCCCCUCCCAGAGGCUCCUAGGCCUCACUGCAACCCGUCCUAAGGAGGAACAACUCCAGCCAUCCCUCCUCAUCUGACUCCAUCUGGACUGGUGGAUCCGGGGACGUUUGCAGCUGCCUGUGGGAUGCACACCCCUCAUCCCUGCUGUUUCCCGCUGGCAGAUAGCCGAUCAGACCUUUCCUUCCUACCUACCAUCUUUCCCUGAGUGUAUAAUUAAUAAACAUGCCCUGAUUGCCACAA